AGAACGAACGCUGGCGGCACGCCUAACACAUGCAAGUCGAGCGCCCAGCAAUGGGAGCGGCGGACGGGUGAGUAACACGUGGGAAUAUGCCUUUCGGUACGGAACAACUCAGGGAAACUUGAGCUAAUGCCGUAUACGCCCUUACGGGGAAAGAUUUAUCGCCGAAAGAUUAGCCCGCGUCUGAUUAGCUAGUUGGUGAGGUAAUGGCUCACCAAGGCUUCGAUCAGUAGCUGGUUUGAGAGAACGACCAGCCACACUGGGACUGAGACACGGCCCAGACUCCUACGGGAGGCAGCAGUGGGGAAUCUUGGACAAUGGGGGAAACCCUGAUCCAGCGAUGCCGCGUGAGUGAUGAAGGCCUUCGGGUUGUAAAACUCUUUCGGACGGGACGAUAAUGACGGUACCCGUAGAAGAAGCUCCGGCUAACUUCGCGCCAGCAGCCGC
rnacentral:rRNA from 1 species